GAUGAACGCUGGCGGCGUGCCUAAUACAUGCAAGUCGAGCGAACAGAUGAGGAGCUUGCUCCUCUGACGUUAGCGGCGGACGGGUGAGUAACACGUGGAUAACCUACCUAUAAGACUGGGAUAACUUCGGGAAACCGGAGCUAAUACCGGAUAAUAUAUUGAACCGCAUGGUUCAAUAGUGAAAGACGGUUUUGCUGUCACUUAUAGAUGGAUCCGCGCCGCAUUAGCUAGUUGGUAAGGUAACGGCUUACCAAGGCAACGAUGCGUAGCCGACCUGAGAGGGUGAUCGGCCACACUGGAACUGAGACACGGCCCAGACUCCUACGGGAGGCAGCAGUAGGGAAUCUUCCGCAAUGGGCGAAAGCCUGACGGAGCAACGCCGCGUGAGUGAUGAAGGUCUUCGGAUCGUAAAACUCUGUUAUUAGGGAAGAACAAAUGUGUAAGUAACUAUGCACGUCUGGACGGUACCUAAUCAGAAAGCCACGGCUAACUACGU
rnacentral:rRNA from 1 species